rnacentral:rRNA from 1 species
UGCGUAGGCGGUUAUAUUAGUCGGGUGUAAAAUCCUGGGGCUCAACCUCAGGCUCGCAUUCGAAACGGUAUAACUAGAAGAAGUGAGAGGUAAACAGAACUCUCGGUGUAGGGGUGAAAUCCGUUGAUAUCGAGGGGAAUACCAAAUGCGAAGGCAGUUUACUGGCACUUUCUUGACGCUGAGGCACGAAAGCGUGGGUAGCGAACG